rnacentral:rRNA from 1 species
AUUGAACGCUGGCGGCAGGCCUAACACAUGCAAGUCGAGCGAGCGGCGGCCGGGUGCGUACUGUCUGGGAAACUGCCUGAUGGCGGGGGAUAACUACUGGAAACGGCAGCUAAUACCGCAUACCAUCAGAUGUGCCCAGAUGGGAUUCGCUAGUAGGUGGGGGAACGGCCCACCUAGGCGCCGAUCCCUAGCUGGUCUGAGAGGAUGACCAGCCACACUGGACCUGAGACACGGUCCAGCCGCCAACGGGAGGCAGCAGUGGGGAAUAUUGCGCAAUGGGCGCAAGCCUGGUGCAGCAAUGCCGCGUGUGGGAAGAAGGCCUUCGGGUUGUAAAGCACUUUCAGCGGGGAGGCGUUACGCGCAGAAGAAGCACCGGCUAACUCCGUGCCAGCAGCCGCGGUAAUUC